rnacentral:rRNA from 1 species
UACGUAGGGAGCAAGCGUUGUCCGGAAUCAUUGGGCGUAAAGCGCGCGUAGGUGGCUUCGUAAGUCCGUUGUGAAAGUCAAAGGCUCAACCUUUGAAAGCCGAUGGAUACUGUGAAGCUAGAGUACGGAAGAGGCGAGUGGAAUUCCUGGUGUAGCGGUGAAAUGCGCAGAUAUCAGGAGGAACACCGAUUGCGAAGGCAGCUCGCUGGGACGUUACUGACGCUGAGACGCGAAAGCGUGGGGAGCAAACAGG